rnacentral:rRNA from 1 species
AGUGAACGCUGGCGGUAGGCCUAACACAUGCAAGUCGAACGGCAGCACAGUAAGAGCUUGCUCUUACGGGUGGCGAGUGGCGGACGGGUGAGGAAUACAUCGGAAUCUACUUUUUCGUGGGGGAUAACGUAGGGAAACUUACGCUAAUACCGCAUACGACCUACGGGUGAAAGCAGGGGAUCUUCGGACCUUGCGCGAUUGAAUGAGCCGAUGUCGGAUUAGCUAGUUGGCGGGGUAAAGGCCCACCAAGGCGACGAUCCGUAGCUGGUCUGAGAGGAUGAUCAGCCACACUGGAACUGAGACACGGCCCAGACUCCUACGGGAGGCAGCAGUGGGGAAUAUUGGACAAUGGGCGCAAGCCUGAUCCAGCCAUACCGCGUGGGUGAAGAAGGCCUUCGGGUUGUAAAGCCCUUUUGUUGGGAAGGAAAAGCAGCAGGUUAAUACCCCGCUGUUCUGACGGUACCCAAAGAAUAAGCACCGGCUAACUUCGUG